AGGCUUUGAAGUGUGGACGCCAGUCUGCAUGGAGCCGACCUUGAAAUACCACCCUUUAAUGUUUGAUGUUCUAACGUGGACCCGUGAUCCGGGUUGCGGACAGUGUCUGGUGGGUAGUUUGACUGGGGCGGUCUCCUCCUAAAGAGUAACGGAGGAGCACGAAGGUUGGCUAAUCCUGGUCGGACAUCAGGAGGUUAGUGCAAUGGCAUAAGCCAGCUUGACUGCGAGCGUGACGGCGCGAGCAGGUGCGAAAGCAGGUCAUAGUGAUCCGGUGGUUCUGAAUGGAAGGGCCAUCGCUCAACGGAUAAAAGGUACUCCGGGGAUAACAGGCUGAUACCGCCCAAGAGUUCAUAUCGACGGCGGUGUUUGGCACCUCGAUGUCGGCUCAUCACAUCCUGGGGCUGAAGUAGGUCCCAAGGGUAUGGCUGUUCGCCAUUUAAAGUGGUACGCGAGCUGGGUUUAGAACGUCGUGAGACAGUUCGGUCCCUAUCUGCCGUGGGCGCUGGAGAACUGAGGGGGGCUGCUCCUAGUACGAGAGGACCGGAGUGGACGCAUCACUGGUGUUCGGGUUGUCAUGCCAAUGGCACUGCCCGGUAGCUAAAUGCGGAAGAGAUAAGUGCUGAAAGCAUCUAAGCACGAAACUUGCCCCGAGAUGAGUUCUCCCUGAGACUUUAGGUCUCCUGAAGGAACGUUGAAGACGACGACGUUGAUAGGCCGGGUGUGUAAGCGCAGCGAUGCGUUGAGCUAACCGGUACUAAUGAACCGUGAGGCUUAACCUUACAACGCCGAAG
rnacentral:rRNA from 1 species